AGUAUAUAUUAAUAAUAAUCAGCUUACAUCACUUAAUCCAUUAUUAAUUGUAUCUUUGAAUUUGCUAUAGUGGGCUGACCCAUCACAAUGAUGAUGACAAAGUGUCAGCAGGCAGUGGAGAUGAAUAGUGGUGCUGCAGGAACAGCCUGGCUCCGAAUGUCAAAACAACAAAGAGGUUCAUUGUACUUACAGAAGAACAAGAGAUCUCCACAGAGGUGGACUUAUGGGUCUCCAAACACUAUCUUUUGCACAACAGAGUCUUAAAAAAGAGAAAUUGAGAGAGUGGGAGAAACAGUGUAACUGGAAUAUAUCUGGCAUUCAAGGAUGCAAUCGUUAGUGAGCAGAGGAACAGGUGAUCUCCUAACUCAGCAGAAAACAUCUAAGCCAAGGUUGACCAUGUCACUGAAACUCCGUUCACCUUCAGUUAGAAUGACCUUGUGACCUGGUAGGUGUCCACCACAGAACAUUCAGAAAAGGUAAUGAUGAAAAGAGUGCACUGAUCGACUACACUAUCUGUCAAGCCUGUCAAAGGUGUUUUCAUGUCACAUAAUAAACAUUAAGAAGGUGUAAGCAUGACAGCAAUUCUUCUGUAACUGUCACUCAAAUCACUGUAUCACUUACCAUCCACCAGUUGUCAGAUAACAUGCUAGAGCCUCAUCCAUUGCUUUUCAAGUAAAUUAUUCACCAUUACCAAAUACUCUUUUCUUCAACCAGCCAUGAGAACUGACUUGAGCAAGUGUAAUUUUUAACUAUUGACUCUUCAACUGGAUAAAAGUGUGAAACCUACCUCUAAUAUGCA